GAUGAACGCUAGCGGCAGGCUUAAUACAUGCAAGUCGUGGGGCAGCAGGACUGUAGCAAUACAGUUGCUGGCGACCGGCAAACGGGUGCGGAACACGUACGCAACUUACCCUGAACUGGGGGAUAGCCCGGGGAAACCCGGAUUAAUACCCCGUAAUAUAAUGGAGUGGCAUCACUUUAUUAUUAAAGCUCCGGCGGUUCGGGAUGGGCGUGCGGCUGAUUAGGUAGUUGGUUGAGGUAACGGCUCACCAAGCCUACGAUCAGUAACUGGUGUGAGAGCACGACCAGUCACACGGGCACUGAGACACGGGCCCGACUCCUACGGGAGGCAGCAGUAAGGAAUAUUGGGCAAUGGAGGCAACUCUGACCCAGCCAUGCCGCGUGGAGGAUGAAGGCCCUCUGGGUUGUAAACUUCUUUUAUAGGGGACGAAGCCUGUGUAUUCUUACGCAGUUGACGGUACCCUAGGAAUAAGCACCGGCUAACUCCGUG
rnacentral:rRNA from 1 species